GAGCUUGGAGUUUCUCAGUGCAGCGGCAUCUGUGAGAUGCCAUGUGGUCUAACGGGAAGACCAUGGCCUGGAAAGACAAUGGGCUGGGAGUCUGACGGUGCUGAGUAGAGUGAAUGGUUCUUAUUGUUGUAACGACACGCAGCUGCUUUAUUGGUCAUUCAAGAGGAAACUUGUCCCCGUGGCGAGGGAUUUGGACUGAAGCCUGCAGCUGCUUAGCACAGAUGCUGACGAGGCCUCACCUAGGCUUUCCUGCCCACCUGCAGCCGUCAGCUUCCCUCUAACUCUGCAGAUUGACUGCACGCCUUUUUCUCCACUGCCCCUCCAAACCCACUAAGAUAGCCAUAAGGGAAUAAAGUAAGAGGAAGCAACUGGGAGAGCAAAUGCAAAAAAUGUCAACAAAAUUUUGAAAGAUGUAAGGUGUUUGAACAAAGGGCAUCUAAUUUAGUUUUAGCUUUAGCCAUUCUGCUAAGCGUCUACACCUGAAGAAGCCAACAAAACGUAAAUUGAAUCCACCAUGGAUCCUCAAAAGGCAGAGGAUCUGGAAGCACCAGACAUCUCUGAAUCCAGGGGUCAGGAUGGGGCUGAGAAGAAGAGGAUUCACUCGUAAGUCUGUAUAAGAAGGAUCUAGACCCCCAGAUUUUCUCCCUUGCCCCACACAGCCAGGCGCCAUAGCUCCUCUACCAUCCAGCAGAUGACACAUUUGCUAUCUAAAGAGGGUGAACCAGAGAGAUUCUGACCCAGGGGACGUGAAGCAUGGCAGAAGGCAGAAGACAAAGACAUCCUGAAAAGAGGCGACCGCAAUGCAGACUCGAGGGAACCGUCAUUCCAAGGACUUCCAUCAGGAGGAAGGGGAGUGAAAUCAUUCAUGCCAGCUGUGAUUCCGACUUACAUCUCACUGAGCAGGACUGUGUCAUGUGACUGCAUCUGCCAACAAGCGGGGAAACUCUAGACGUCAGAAGUGAGGUGAUCACUGUUUGUGUUGGCCCUGUUGGCAGCAGCAGAACUUUGCAAAUGGUUACUGAUGGUGGUUGGAUAUGAUGUCAUCAGACGUUUCCAAAAGAAAAGCAGUUCGGCCCUGAAAAAUGUAAAUACGAUUUUUGGAGGAGCACUUCACCAUGCAAAAAAUAAUACCCUUACCCUUAAUAUUGUUAAGAAGCCAAAUGGUCUUGGCAAUGACUUCUUGGAUAUGACACCAAAAGCACAGGCAACAGAAGCAAAAACAGACAAGUGGGACCACAGUAAAUUAAAAGGUUCUGCACAGCAAAGAAAACAACCCAUAGAGAGAAAAGGCAACCUACAGAAUGGGGUAAAAUAUUUGUAAACCAAACAUCUGAUAAGGGAUUAAUAUCCAAAGUUAUAAGGAACUCCUACGACUCAAAAGUAAAAAAGCAAGUAACCCAAUUAAAAAAUGGGCAAAGGACUUGAAUAGACAUUUCUCCAAAGAAGA
rnacentral:lncRNA from 1 species